UACGUAGGGGGCAAGCGUUGUCCGGAUUUAUUGGGCGUAAAGGGCUCGUAGGCGGCCAACUAAGUCGGACGUGAAAUCCCCAGGCUCAACCUGGGAACUGCGUCCGAUACUGGAUGGCUUGAAUCCGGGAGAGGGAUGCGGAAUUCCAGGUGUAGCGGUGAAAUGCGUAGAUAUCUGGAGGAACACCGGUGGCGAAGGCGGCAUCCUGGACCGGUAUUGACGCCUGAGGCGCGAAAGCCAGGGGAGCAAACGGG
rnacentral:rRNA from 1 species